AUCUUUAUUGAGGACGUGAGCGUUGCUCCUGGUGCUGAACAGAGCGCGAAGCUCUCCCUGCGUAACUCCUGGCACGCGCCGGUCUCGCCAGGCCAAUGGGUGGACCUGGCGCAACAGACGUCACGAGAGGAGCGGAGGCGAGGGGUGAACGCGGAGCACUCCAAUCGGUCAGUCAUUGUUUCUAUUGGCACAAUGGGAGGCCCCGCCCCUCACGGCGGACUCAUCGCAUGGGGGAGGGGGCUCCGCGGGUUGCCGGCUAACCGUGAGAGAGUCCGGGAGGUACACUAUACGGACCGGCCUCCAAAGGCGGAAUCGAUAACGAGCUGCAGCGCCGGGUGCAGAGGACGCGGGCAUCCCGAAGCCCAGGAAGAGGUCAGGGCCGGGACCCCAGAACGCUCCACAGGGUGCGGCUCCCGCGAUGGGGUGGAUCCUGGUUCUAACAGGCGAGGAACUCCUGGCCAAGGCCUCUGGCCCGCCCCGAACGGUCCCUAUGACAUCACCAUCAACCAAUCAGUCGGCGCAUCCUUUCGCCCCUUGACUGCUCCGCUUCCGGGAGGCGGGGCUUCUGCGGGUUCCACCUCCCGAGCGCCCCUUGUGGCUACCAAGGUCAGGCAACAGGUGUCCAGUUGUUCCCUCUCCUGUCUACGAAUCUGAGGACCUCCCCAGGAUCAGAGCUCUGGGCCUGAUACACGGCCGGGGUUCCUACGGGUUUGUGAGUGGGGGUGGAAGAUCUGCAGAGGCACUUAGGGCUGAACUCCUUUGAAUGGGAGCCAAUCGGUGCAGGGGCUGGAGGAGCGAGUCCCCCAAAGUAGUUUUAUUUAUCUAUUUAGAGACAAGGUCUCACUCUUUCGGAGUGCAGUGGUGAUCACAGCUCACCGUAGCCUCGAACUCCCCAGGCGAUUCUCUCACCUCAGCCUCCCGAGUAGCUGGGACUACGGGUACAUGUCAUCACACUUGGCUAAUUUUUGCAUUUUUUAUAGAGACAGGGUCUCACCAUGUAGGCCAGAUUAGUCUUGAACUCCUGGGCUCAAGCAAUCCGCCCAUCUUGGCCUCCCAAAGUGCUGGGAUUAUAGGUGUGAGCCACCGCGCCCGGCAACCCAGAAGUGGUUUUGACAGCACCAGCGCUUUCUGUGUCCACAAUCUACUCCCAACUAGAGGUCCACCCAGGACCCAGAGACCUGGAUUUGAGGCUGCUGGGCGGCAGAUGGAGCGAUCAGAAGACCAGGCCAGGUGUACCUUUCCAGGGGAAGACCUGGCCAACCUGUCCAGCUCAAUUAUCCAGCAGUUCUUUGACCUCACUGAGAUCUCGAGUCCAUUGUUCAUCACCUCAGCUAUUGACCUGUGUCAUUAGCCUUAUAGAGUUCAGUGCCACGGAAACUCCCUGCCCUGUUCUUUUUCUUUUUCUUUUUUUUUUUUUUUUUGAGACAGAGCCUUGCUCUGUCGCCCAGGCUGGAGUGCAGUGGCGCGAUCUCGGCUCACUGCAAGCUCUGCCUCCCAGGUUCACACCAUUCUCCUGACUCAGCCUCCCGAGUAGCUGGGACUACAGGCGUCCACCACCAUGCCCAGCUAAUUUUUUUUUUUGUAUUUUUAGUAGAGACGGCGUUUCACCGUGUUAGCCAGGCUGGUCUCGAUCUCCUGACCUUGUGAUGCUCCCGCCUCGGCCUCCCAAAGUGCUGGGAUUACAGGCAUGAGCCAUUGUGCCCGGCCUGCCCUGUUCUUCUUAGACAAACUUGCUGGGCUAAAAUCUAACCCCGUUAAAAUAGACUAUUUACGUAUUGUUUGCCUCUAGCGCAGCAGAACAUUGCUGGAGAAAAACAAACAACCGUGCUAAUUGGUCUCAUUUUAUAUUCAUGACCACAAGCCUCAGUAUUAUAUCGGAGGGCCUAUCCAGUGCAGUAGGGCAAGAAAAAUAAUAAGUUAUGAAGAUUGGAAGGGAAAAAAAACUAAUUCACAAGCAGUAGGAUUGUAUAUGUAAAAAUUUCAAAGGAACCUAUAGGUAAGUUGUUAGAAUGAGUUCAGCAAAGUUGUUGGACACAAGAUCAAUAUAUAAAAAUCAGUUGCAAUUUCUAUAUGUCACCAACAGUUAGAAAAUAAAUUUCUUGCCUGGGCAUGUUGGCUCAAGCCUGUAAUCCCAGCACUUUGGGUGGCCAAGGCGGGCAGAUCACCUGAGGUCAGGAGUUUGAGACCAGUUUGGCCAACAUGGUGAAAUCCCGUCUCUACUAAAAAUACAGAAAUUAGCCGGGCGUGGUGGUGGGCACCUGUAGUCCCAGCUACUGAGGAGGCUGAGGCAGGAGAAUCACUUGAACCUGGGAGGCAGAGGUUGCAGUGAACGAGAAAAAAAAAUUUUUUUUCUUAAAAACAAUGAUGUUUACAAUAGCAUCAAGUAAUAUCAAAUGCUGAGGAAUAAACCUAAUGAAAGAUGUGCAAAGACUACAUACACACAUACAAAAAAACUAUAAAACAUUAUUGAGGGAAAUAAAGACAUAGGCCUGGCAUUGGUGGCUCAUGCCUGAAAUCUCAGCACUUUGGAGGGCCAAGGUGGGUGGAUCAUUUGAGGUCAGGAGUUAGAGAUCAGUCCGGCCAACAUGGUGAAACCUCAUCUCUACUAAAAAUACAAAAAAAUUAGCUUGGCCAGGUGCAGUGGCUCACACCUGUAAUCCCAGCACUUUGGGAGGCUGAGGCGGGCGGAUCAUGAGGUCAGGAGAUCGAGACCAUCCUGGCUAACACGGUGAAACCCUGUCUCUACUAAAAAUACAAAAAAAAAUUAGCCGGGCCUGAUGGCGGGCGCCCGUAGUCCCAGCUACUCGGGAGGCUGAGGUAGCAGAAUGGCGUGAACCUGGGAGGUGCAGCUUGCAGUGAGCCUAAAUUGCGCCACUGCACUCCAGCCUGGGUAACAGAGCGAGACUCCGUUUCAAAAAAAAAAAAAAAAAUUAGCUGGGCAUGCUGUUGUGCACCUGCAAUCCCAGCUACUCUGGAGGAUGAGGCAGAAGUGCCUGAACCUGGGACACAGAGGUUGCAGUGAGCCAAGAUCAUGCCAUUGCACUCCAGCCUGGACAACACAGCCAGACGCUAUCUGAAAAAAAAAAAAAAAAAAAAAGUAAAAAAAAUGAGAAAUAAAGACAUAAAUAAAGUGAAAAAUUGUUCCAAUAUUGGAAAAGUCAAUAUUAUAAAGGUGCCAAUUUUCCCAAAUUGAUAUAUGGAUUCGAUGCAACUUCAGUUAAAAAUCCCACUAAAUUUUGGCUGGGUGCGGUGGCUCACACCUGUAAUCCCAGCACUUUGGGAGGCUGAGGCGGGCGGAUCACAAGGUCAGGAGAUCGAGACCAUCUUGGCUAACAUGGUGAAACCGUCUCUACUAAAAAUACAAAAGUUAGCCGGGUGUGGUGGCGGGCACCUGUAGUCCCAGCUACUUGGGAGGCUGAGACAGAAUGGCGUGAACCUGGGGAGGCGGAGCUUGCAGUGAGCCAAGUUGACGCCACUGCACUCCAGCCUGGGCGACAGAGCAAGACUCUGUCUCAAAAAAAAAAAAAAAAAAAUCCCACUAGAUUUUGUGUGUGUGUAAACUGACAAACUAGAUUUAGCAGCCUGAGCAACACAGCAAAACCCCAUCUCUACAAAAAAUACAAAAAUUUUGCACAUGCCUGUAUAGUCCCAGCUACUUGGGAGGCUGAAGUGGGAGGAUCAUGUGAGCUCUGGGGAGGUCGAGGCUGUAGUGAGCUAUGAUCACAUGCUGCACUCUAGCCUGGGCAACAGAGCAAGAGACCCUGUAUCUAAAAAAAGAAUGAAAAUUAAAAAAUAAAAAGAAACCAAGAUUGUGUGGUACUGGUACGAGGAUAGGAAGACUAAAGGAACGAAAUCCAGAGACAGGCCUGAAGAUGUGUGGAAACUUGAAUUUUGACAAGGGUGGUUCUUCAGAGCUAACAUGAAGAAAGGGUUGUUUUCUUUUUUUUGUUUCCCCAGGAGCAACUCUAUUAACUGAAAGAAUAGGCUUUUCAAUAAAUGAUGCUGGGUCAGUUGGAUAUCCAUAUAGAAAAAAUUAAAUGAGAUCUCUAUUUCACACUGCUUGCAUAAUCAAUUCCAUAUAAAUUUGACAUCUGAAAAUAUACAGUUUCUAGAAAACAGUAUUAAGACCUUGUUUUGUUUUUUGUUGUUGUUGUUUUUUGUUUUGUUUUUUGUUUUUUGAGACAGAGUCUCGCUCUGUCGCCAGGCUGGAAUACAGUGGUGCAACCUUGGCUCACUGCAACCUCUGACUCCCUAGUUCAAGCAAUUCUCCUGCCUCAGCCUCCCGAGUAGCUGCGAUUACAGGCACAUGCCACCACGCCCAGCUAAUUUUUGUAUUUUUAGUAGAGAUGGGGGUUUCACCAUGUUGGCCAGGAUGGUCUCGAUCUCCUGACCCUGUAAUCCGCCCACCUCGGCCUCCCAAAGUGCUGGGAUUACAGGCGUGAGCCACUGCACCUGGCCAAGAGAAGAUCUUAAAGGUGACUUUAAGCAAACUUUUUUUUUUUUUUUUUUACAGAGACGGGAGCUGGAGUGCAGUGGCUGUUCACAAGCGUGAAAGCAAAGAUUAAAAAAUUUGUUUUUAUAUUAAAAAAGUUUUUAGAGAUGGGGGUCUCACUUUGUGGCCCAGCCUGCAGUGCAGUGGCGCGAUCAUAGCUCCCUGCUGCCUCGACUUCCUAGGCUCAAGGGACCCUCCUGUCUUGGCCUCUGAGUAGCUGAGACUACAGGUAUGCUCCACCACACCCGGCUAAUUUCUUUACUUUUUUGUAGGGACAGGGUCUCAUCAUUUUGCCCAGGCUGGUCUGGAACUCUUGAGCUCAAGUGAUCCUCCUGCCUUGGCCUCCCAAAGUGCUGGGAUUACAGGCAUGAGCCACCACAGCCAGUCAAGAUUUUUUAACAGGACAGGACUGUCUAACAGGAUUGUCUAAUAGGACAUAAAAUACACUAACUAUAAAGGAAAGUAUUGAUAAAUUGGAUUACAUAAUGAUUGAGAACCUUCUUUUAUCAAAAGACAUUAAAAGUGGGAGAAGAUACUCUAAGAUAGAACAUCCAUGGACUCAUAUCCUGAAUACAUACUACAAAUCAAUAAAAUAUACACAAACAGAUAAAUGGGGCAAGAGAUUCGAAUAGUUACUUCACAAAAGAGAACAUUCAAAUAAUAUUGAAAAGGUGCUCAACCUCUUUAGUCAUCAGGGAAAUGCAAAUUGAAAAAAAUAAAUACUGGCUAGGUGAGGCGACUCACAUCUGUAAUCCCAGCACCUUGGGAGGCUGAGAUGGACAGAUCACUUGAGGCCAGGAGUUUGAGACCAGCCUGGCCAGCAUGGCAAAACCCUGUCUUUACUCAAAGCACAAAAGUUAGCCGGGCAUGUUGGCCCACGCCUGUGGUCCCAGCUACUUGGGAGGCUGAGGCAUGAGAAUCGCUUGAACCCAGGAGGAGGAGGAUGCAGUGAGCUGAGAAUGCACCACUGGACUCCAUCCUGGGCAACAGAACAAGACUUUACCUCCCAAAAAAAAGGUGGAGAGGGGAGGACUACUGCACUCUACCAGGAUAGCGAAAAUAAAAAUGACUUGACAAUACCAAGUUUUGGGAAAGAUAGAAGCUUGAACUGUCUGACACUACUGAAGGAGCAUACAUUGGUACAACUACUUUGGAAACCUAUUUGGCAGUAUCUGCCUGUGACCGUGAAAUUCCACUCUUUAUUUGGGAAUAUACCCUCCUAAAAUAAUGCGUAUGAGCAACAUGAAGACAUGUACAACAGUGCUCCUGGCAGCAGUAUUUGCAACAGACAAAAAUUGGAAACAACUGAAAGGUCAUCAACAGUGGAUGGAUACGCUGGGAUUACAGGUGUGAGCCACCUGCACACUUACACACCCAUUCCUAGCUGCAGCUUCAGAAACUUCUGACCCAGGAAGUCAGCCCAAACCCCCUCACUGUCCCCCAAAAUUUGAGUUCUUCUCAACUCUACCCAAACACUCCCCUUUCUUGGGGUGGCUUAAUGCUCUGUCUCAUUGCCCUUCCUACUGCCUACCCACAUAUCACAUCUACCAACCUUCCACGCAGCCAUAGACGUGUUCUAUCAAAGACAGUUCCCUCCCCAAGAGGACUUCUCUGACUAAUCAUAAUCUGCCUUUGGUUGUAAUUUUGUGUUGUGAGGCCACCACAAGGGUGUUUGCUGAAGAGGUCCUGGAGUCCCCUCAGAGCACGCUUGCUACCAGGAGUCAGCAUGUAUGUAACUUCAUCAGCUGGGGCUUCUGCUUCUCUUACAAACAGGUGCCAGGGCCCACCUUGGGCACUCCUGCAGAAGUGAGCAGAGGCUUCUGCCAUGGGGCCAUACCUUGUUUGACCUAGGUGCCAGCACUGGGACAGAUGGCACAGCACAGUCCUGCCGUUCCCACAGGGUUUGUGUGUGCAUCAUGACAGGAAACACAGCAAGUCACAAAGGCUGUCCGAUGUCCCUGCCUCAGCUUCCUGAGGACCUGUGCUUUUUACUGAAAUACACUAUCUCAUAAGAAUACUUCCCUGCCUUCCGCACCCCAGUGAGAAAGGAGUUGUGACUGGAAGUCAGUGUCAUUGACUUUGGAUAUGAAAAGGAGGCAGAAUGUCUCCAGGGUUAAAAGUAGUAACCAGGCCAGGCGUGGUGGCUUAUGCGUGUAAUCCCAGCAUUUUGGGAGGCGGAGGUGAGUGGGUCACCUGAGGUCAGGAGUUCAAGACCAGCCGGGCCAACAUGGCGAAAUCCCAUCUGUACUGAAAAUACAGGAAUUAGCCGGGUGUGGUGGCAGGCGCCUGUAAUACCAGCUACUGGGGAGGCUGAGGCAGGAAGAAUUGCUUGAACCCAGGAGGUUAAGGGUUGCAGUGAGCCAAGAUCACACCACUGCACUCCAGCCUGGGUGACAGAACACGAUUCCAUCUGAAAAAAAAAAAAAAAAAAAAAAGCGGGGGCUGGGCGCGGUGGCUCACACCUGUAAUCCCAGCACUUUGGGAGCCUGAGACAGGUGGAUCGUCUGAGAUCAGGAGUUCGAGACCAGCCUGACCAACAUGGUGAAACCCCGUCUCUACUAAAAAUACAAAAAUUAGCUGGAUGUGGUGGUGGGCACCUGUAAUCCCAGCUAUUCGGGAAGCUGAGGCAGAGGAAUCAUCGCUUGAACCUGGGAGGUAGAGGUUGCAGUGAGCCGAGAUCACACCAUUGCAUUCCAGCCUGGGUGACAAGAGCAAAACUCCGUCUCAAAAAGAAAAAAAAAAAAAGUUAGUAACCAGGUUGUGUCCCACAGAGCUUUACUGGGGGCCAAACACUGUCAACCCCUCCUCAGGUCCCAGUGAGUUUGUGCACCUGGCCUUCUGACAGUAAGCGGUGAGCAGGGCAUCCCCCACCAGGACCCCAUACUUUCCUCCCAUGGGUUUCCUAUGGAAUGUUGCUGCUUCAACUUCUGAGAGCCUCUUGCUGGGGGGCCCCAUCCCUAGCCCUUGCCUCCCUGUGCUGCUUUACCUUCUUUUUGGGAGGAUAACUGCCCUCUGUUUUCAGCACCCCAAUAAGAAAGAAAAAGUCAUGACCAGAAGUCAGUGUCAGUGAUUGCUGAUGUGUGGAAACAUCUGAUGAAUGAAGAGUUUGGGUAAAAAAUAAAGGGAACUGAUGAAAACCACUUGUGUGUGAAGCCUAUAUAGUGGUGUGUGCCUGUAGUCCCAGCUACUCGGGAAGCUGAAGUGGGAGGACUGCUUGAGCACAGGAGUUGGACAUCAGCCUUGAAAAGAUAGUGAGACUCAAUCUAGAAAACAGAAACAACACUUCUGACUGGUGUCUGCCUGUGGGUUUCUGACUCUGCUCCCAAACUUAUGGUGAGAACUUCUUUGCUAACUUGAGAGUCUGCAAGAGUGAAGUUUUUGCCAAAUUUUGGCCCUUAGUUCCUCUAAAACACUAAUGGAAACGUAACCCCAUGCUUGUUAAGACCCUCCUUCUGCCCUACCAUGAUUACCAGAUCUCUGCUGAGGUUGCAAGAUGAGGUGAUCUUGCUGGAAACAAGGACAAAUGGGGGAAGAAAAUAGGGCUGGACAGGCCCAAGCAUUCAGAGGCCAGGGCUGGGGGUAGGUAGGGGCCUGCUUCAUUUGAGAACAACUAUGAAGGACAAUAGGGUUUCAACAGGGGAGAGAGUAGCGGUAUUCAAAGCAAAGCAAAAGAUGUAAGUGAAAGAUGUAAGCGGGCCGGUGCGAUGGGUCACGCCUAUAAUCCCCGUACUUUGGGAGGCCAAGGCAGGAGGAUCACCGGAACUGAGGUGUUUGAGACCUGCUUGAGCAACAUAGUAGGACCCUGUCUCUACCAAAAAAAAAAAAAAAAAUUAAAUUAGCUGGGCAUGGUGGCUACUGUAGUUUCAGCUACUCAGGAGGCUGAGGCAGGAGGAUCACUUGAGCCUGGGAGGUCAAGGCUACAGUGAGCCUGGGUAACAGAGUGAGACUGUCUCAAAAAAAAAAAAAAGGAGAAAAAGAAAGAUGUAAGUGUGUAAGUGAAGCCUGGAGAUGCAGACACCUGCGAAUGGGCUGCUGAGGGGCACUUGGCUAUGGCUGGGGCUCAGGAAAAGUGGAGCUCAGGGAAGAGAGGCUAGAACAGGGCUCAAAGGGCCUUGAAGGCCAGGCCUGUCAGGGUCCAUCACCUCCUCAGGCUGGAGAAGUCAGUGCAAGCUGCAGUGAUGGGGUCCUGAGGCCCCAGUACUUCUGCCCAUCCUCUCCCACUGUCUCCCAAGAUCAUACAGGGAAGCCUGUUUCCAGAUGCCUGUGAUUUAUUUCCAAAGGAGAGCUACAGCACAUAGGAAAAUACACAUGGCUUUUCAGUCUACAUUUUUACAGAGAAAAGAGAUUCG
rnacentral:lncRNA from 1 species